UAUCUCUGUAGAGUCUGCAUAUCAAUAAGCGGAGGAAAAGAAACUAACUAGGAUUCCCUUAGUAACGGCGAGUGAAGCGGGAAGAGCUCAAAUUUGAAAUCUUCAAGGUUUUACCUUGAUCGAAUUGUAGUUUAAAGAAGUGUUUUCUGUUGGAUGUUUUGGUAAAAGUUCUUUGGAAUAGGACAUCAUAGAGGGUGAGAAUCCCGUAUUUGACCAUUACUUUCCAGCUUUGUGAUACACUUUCAAAGAGUCGGAUUGUUUGGGAAUGCAGUCCAAAAUGGGUGGUAAAUUUCAUCUAAAGCUAAAUAUUGGCGAGAGACCGAUAGCGAACAAGUACCGUGAGGGAAAGAUGAAAAGAACUUUGAAAAGAGAGUUAAACAGUACGUGAAAUUGUCAAAAGGGAAGCGUUUGACACCAGUGUUGUUUUCUCGAAAAUCAAUUAAAAAAGGCAGGAUUUUGUGUUGUAUUGACUUUAUCAGCUUUCUGCACUCUUUUCUUGUCUUUUUUAAUGCACUUUUCGUUUAACAAGUCAACAUCAAUUUCUUUUGUUGUAAAAGGGUCAUUGGAAGGUGGCUUUCUUUUCGGAGAAAGUGUUUAUAGCCUUUGGCCUCUGCAAUCGGAGAGAUGAGGUCUGCAGCGUAGAUCCUUCGGGGUUAGAUACACUUGUGCUAAGUUAUAGCUUUCAUAGACAACUUGUUGACUAUGAUUAGUCAUGUCGCUUACUCGCUUAUGCUAUUUUACCUACGCUUAGGAUGUUGAAGAUGUAGCACAUCAU
rnacentral:rRNA from 1 species